rnacentral:rRNA from 1 species
GGGCCCGCACAAGCGGUGGAGUAUGUGGUUUAAUUCGAUGCAACGCGAAGAACCUUACCAGGGUUUGACAUCCUGCGAAUCUCUUGGAAACAGGAGAGUGCCUUCGGGAACGCAGUGACAGGUGGUGCAUGGCUGUCGUCAGCUCGUGUCGUGAGAUGUUGGGUUAAGUCCCGCAACGAGCGCAACCCACGUCUUUAGUUGCCAGCAUUUAGUUGGGCACUCUAGAGAGACUGCCGGUGAUAAACCGGAGGAAGGUGUGGAUGACGUCAAGUCAUCAUGCCCCUUACAUCCUGGGCUACACACGUGCUACAAUGGCAGUGACAAUGGGUUAAUCCCCAAAAGCUGUCUCAGUUCGGAUUGGGGUCUGCAACUCGACCCCAUGAAGUCGGAAUCGCUAGUAAUCGCGUAA